rnacentral:lncRNA from 1 species
CCCAGCCUCGCUGCCGCCUUGCAGUUUGAUCUCAGACUGCUGUGCUAGCAAUCAGCGAGACUCCGUGGGAGUAGGACCCUCCGAGCCAGGUGUGGGAUAUAAUCUCGUGGUGCGCCAUUUUUCAAGCCCGUCAGAAAAGCGCAGUAUUCGGGUGGGAGUGACCCGAUUUUCCAGGAGUCCUAACCUAAAAUAAAAUAGAACAUACUGUGCUUAAAGCAAGGGGGGAAUCAUGUAACAAUAAAACCAGUGAAGAAAAUUCUAAUGCUCAGGUAAGGCCUCAGAAAAAGUGGAAAACAGCUGGUCCUCAGGAUCCUCCAGCCUUUGCCAAGGAAAAGUGGUUUUAAUCACUGAAGAAUGAGGCUUCAACAUAUGGAAAGACUGUAAGGUCAUUCACUUUGGGAGAAGCCAGUCUUCAUGCCAUGAGGACGUUCAGGCAGCCCUGUGGAGAGAACCACAUGGAAAGGAUCUGAGGUCUCUCACCAGCACCAAUUUGCCAGCUAUGGGAAUGGGCCACCUUGGAAGGAGACUGUCCAGCCCAAGUGAAGGCUGCAGAUAACUGCAGCUUUGGCCAACAUUUGGCUAUAUUGCUUUGGGAAAUCUCAAGCCAGAACCAUCUGGCCAAGCUGCUCUUAAAUUCCUGAUCCACAGAAGUUUUGGAAGGUAA